rnacentral:rRNA from 1 species
CCUACGGGAGGCAGCAGUGAGGAAUAUUGGUCAAUGGACGAGAGUCUGAACCAGCCAAGUAGCGUGAAGGAUGACUGCCCUAUGGGUUGUAAACUUCUUUUAUAAAGGAAUAAAACGAGGCACGUGUGCCUUUUUGCAUGUACUUUAUGAAUAAGGAUCGGCUAACUCCGUGCCAGCAGCCGCGGUAAUACGGAGGAUCCGAGCGUUAUCCGGAUUUCUUGGGUUUAAAGGGAGCGUAGAUGGGUUGUUAAGUCAGUUGUGAAAGUUUGCGGCUCAACCGUAAAAUUGCAAUUGAGACUGGCAGUCUUGAGUACAGGUGAGGUAGGCGGAAUUCGUGGUGUAGCGGUGAAAUGCUUAGAUAUCACGAAGAACCCCGAUUGCGAAGGCAGCUUACUAAACUGUGACUGACAUUGAUGCUCGAAAGUGUGGGUAUCAAACAGGAUUAGAUACCCCAGUAGUC